UUCGGAUUGUAGUCUGCAACCCGGCUACAUGAAGCUGGAAUCGCUAGUAAUCGCGGAUCAGAAUGCCGCGGUGAAUACGUUCCCGGGUCUUGUACACACCGCCCGUCACACCAUGGGAGCCGGAAAUGCCCGAAGUCAGUGACCCAACCGCAAGGAGGGAGCUGCCGAAGGUGGAGCUGGUAACUGGGGUGAAGUCGUAACAAGGUAGC
rnacentral:rRNA from 1 species